ACCCCGCCUCGCCGCCGCUCCAGGCUGCCUUCAGCUAUACGUGCGGCCCCGCGGGCAGGCAGCCGGGGCAGAGAGGUCACUGUGCUGACAAGAGGCACUAAUUCCCACCCUGCACCAGACUGAAGACGGAUGAUAUUUCCUGAUAACGGAGGAUGGGCUAGGACCAGCUGUGGGGAGGGAAAAGCAGUGUCUAACCAUACUUGAGUCACUAAAUACUACAUUUCCUCCCUGGAUGAUGGGCACAUCCUCCUCCAUCUGACAGAACUUCUCUGACCAGGUGCAGACACCAUGUCGUGCAGCAUGUCCCACCAUACACCUUGGCACCGUGGCUGAUACAAGACUGCCUCAUUUGUAAGGGCCCAUCCCCUCAGCCUUAAAACCUAAAGAGCCCUACCAUACCUUCUGUCUGUCUGAAGAUGGGGCAGUCAUUUAAUAAUCCAACUAAAAUAGCAGGAAUAGGAAAGGGUUUUGGCACACUAACUUCCUCUCUGAGGAAAAAUAAACACUUUCACUUCACUCUCACACUGCUCCUGCUCUCCUGUAACUAGAGUAAUUGACCAGGCUGUGAAUGGACACUGGACAGUCUGUUCAGUGGCAAGGCAAGAGAGGAAACCAAAGACAUACCCAUUCUGAUGGACAGAAGAGUCAUUGAUCCCAAGUGGAUAUGUACAUUAGGAAGCACCUUGUGUGUGACAAAACCAACGUCUGAAUCAAUGAUACAUAGUCCAAAACAGAAAUUCCGCUUUUAGACUUUGAAGGUUAGAGUAGGAAUCAUAAGCUCUGAGAGACAAAUAGUUUGUUCCUACAUCAGCGUUUAUGACUUGUCAUAUUCUGUUAUUUUAACAUCAGAAAAUCACCUUCUAAAUAUCAAACUAAUUAUAUAAUUGUAUUUCUGUCCUUAUAUAAGAUCCAUUAGCCUUUUAUUGAACACCACCAUGUCUAUCACCCCACAUUUCUGAAUACACACCAGACACUGAGCAAAGCUUUCUCUUACUUCUGACAGCCUGAAAUUGCUGCCACCAGAUGACACACCACUUCCAGAACAUUAUCUGUUCUUCACCAGAGAACCACAGGCUUCUGUCAUGCAUUUCUCCCCAACCACUUCACAGCUACCACAGACCUGGCAAUGCAAAGGCAUUCACCAAGAGAAAACUAGGAAAAAAAAAAUCUGUCAAGGGCUGUACCACCUUCAAACCAAAAGCAUUCUGCCAACAUGCCAAGUAACAGGCCAGCUCUGUAAGCUUCCAUAAUAGCACCUGAAAUACUUUAUCUAGCAACCAGACUCAGAAGAGCUCAUUAUCUUUUGUGGCUGCAGCAACUGGCAAGAAUGCACAAUUUAGGCACACCAGGUGAGCCUGGUUAGUUUCUGCAUCCAUGCUGUAGCAUUGCUUGCUUCUUUUACUACUUCUUAUGGGUGAAGUGUCAAUGAAUUUUCUGGAUCUUUUUGGAACUUGCUGGCACUGUCCGCCACCUUUGGCAUUACAUCUCAGAAGGAGGAUCUGACAAAACUGAUCGUAUUGCCCCAGCACCAAUGUUGGACUACGUGAGAAUAAAGUCAGGUGAUACCAUUGUUCAUUCCAUUCCCUCUUCUGAAUCACCACACAGAGCAGUUGGAAGUGGAAGACUGUCCCUGUGGGAGGGAUCCCACUCUCAAGCAGCAGAAGUCUGUGAAGAGGAAGGAGCAACAUAAUCUCCCAUCUGCCUGUGCUGCUGGGAGACAGGGGGUGGAGAGUUUCUGCAGGAAGCCAAGCCCAGGAAGAAGGGAGAGGUGGAGGGAAGGUGAUUUGUUCUUAAUUCUCAUUAUUUCUGAUUUUAUUGUCAGUAAAUUCAAAUAAUUUCCCAAAA